rnacentral:rRNA from 1 species
AGUGAACGCUGGCGGCAGGCCUAACACAUGCAAGUCGAACGGCAGCACAGUAAGAGCUCGCUCUUACGGGUGGCGAGUGGCGGACGGGUGAGGAAUACAUCGGAAUCUACUUUUUCGUGGGGGAUAACGUAGGGAAACGUACGCUAAUACCGCAUAUGACCUACGGGUGAAAGCAGGGGAUCUUCGCACCUUUCGCGACUGAAUGAGCCGAUGUCGGAUUAGCUAGUUGGCGGGGUAAAGGCCCACCAAGGCGACGAUGCGUAGCUGGUCUGAGAGGAUGAUCAGCCACACUGGAACUGAGACACGGUCCAGACUCCUACGGGAGGCAGCAGUGGGGAAUAUUGGGCAAUGGGCGCAAGCCUGAUCCAGCCAUACCGCGUGAGUGAUGAAGGCCUUCGGGUUGUAAAGCCCUGUUGUUGGGAAAGAAAAGAAGCAGGAUAAUACCCCGCUGUUCUGACGGUACCCAAGGAAUAAGCACCGGCUAACUUCGUG